rnacentral:lncRNA from 1 species
GUGAUAGACGAACAGAAGCAUGUUCUGAUCUGUCUAUAUUUGUAGGAGAUUUGGCUCCAGAUGUAACUGAUAGUAUAUUGCAGGAGACCUUUUCUAGUAAGUAUCCAUCUGUAAAAGGAGCCAAAGUUAUCAUCGACUCGAAUACUGGCCGUACAAAAGGUUACGGUUUUGUUAGAUUUGGUGAUGAAAAUGAGAGGUCAAGGGCCAUGACCGAAAUGAAUGGUGUGUAUUGUUCAAGUAGGCCGAUGCGCAUAGAUGUUGCAACCCCCAAAAAGGCUUCUGGAUAUCAACAACAGUAUUCUU